GAUGAAGAACGUAGCGAAAUGCGAUAAGUAAUGUGAAUUGCAGAAUUCAGUGAAUCAUCGAAUCUUUGAACGCACAUUGCGCCCCUUGGUAUUCCGAGGGGCAUGCCUAUUCGAGCGUCAUUAUCACCCCUCAAGCCUAGCUUGGUGUUGGGUGUUUGUCCCGCGCUCUUUUGCGCAAGACUCGCCUUAAAUCAAUUGGCAGCCGGCAUGUUAGCCUGGAGCGCAGCACAUUUUGCGCCCCUUGCUUGCUUGUGUUGGCCCCCAUCAAGUCCAUAUAUUUGCUCUUGACCUCGGAUCAGGUAGGGAUACCCGCUGAACUUAAGCAUAUCAAUAAGCGGAGGA
rnacentral:misc_RNA from 1 species